rnacentral:ribozyme from 1 species
UGCCCAGCAACUCCUAUCCCUACCUCCACGCGGUACCGGCCGGAAACUAUGAGCAACCUUAGGGAAGAUCGGGUAACCAACCCCGGUGGGAACUUUGCUCGUAGGCUGACAGGGAAGG